UACAAAUUAACACUCCACAUUCUUGGCCUGAUCUAGUCUUGGUCCUGUUCGGUCAAUAGUAGAAAACAUGACCCUGAUGCUCCAUAGACAACCUUCAGUGAGCCCUCACUUGCCCCUUGGCUGGCCGUUUUUAAAUAUUUCACAAUGUGACUCAAAGUUCCUCUUGUGCUUUGGGGAUCCACUCCUCUGAAGUCCCAGAUUGAAAAUUCUCUUUGAAUGGGGGUUCUAGGACCGCCGAUCAUUUCCAAUUCUUGCACGACAUAAAACAGUGGCUUUCUCCAACUUUUCCUUAAACUAGGAAAAAGUUCUACUAGUUAGAAAGAGCUUCUGCAGCACUGUUGUUAUGCACUCAUUGUUACAAAUAGCGCCACGCUACUGUGACACCAGUGCAGCGGCCGUGACCUUACAUCGUCUCUUGAGAUAUGACUUUCAGUCAAAAUAGCCUUUCUCCCAUCUAACUUAAAGUAAUGACUCCAGAGCUUACCAAGACCCAUUUGAGUUCAAUAGUGCAGCUAUUCAUUCAUAUCUGAUCCUCCAGACAGUUGUGGUAUUCUCUUCCCCCACAGGGACUAACCAAGACAAGUCCUAAGCCUUUGACAACACACCGUCUUUAGUAGAUCACACGAGAGCGAACCGCAUAGCCUUGUCUGAGGAGCAAUUUAAGGCAACAAACGGCUGACUGGGUAGAAACUGUUCUUCACCCGCUCCAGGUACUGUUAUACCGAGGUGGGAAUUUCAGCUGAAUAUCUGGCACCCCAUGCUGCUGUUGAGUGCUUUUGCAAUGUUUUUGUUCCCAUUUUCUCUUUCAGGAUAGCUGUUUCUUUUUUUUUGAUGUUCAUGAUCUGUUGUGGUCAAAAUAAAAACAUGAAAAAGGCAGGCUCGUAUAAAGAAUAUCUAAAUAUAAACACGUCAUAAUUUAUCUCUCAGGCAGGUUGUGUCCUCAGUGCCUCUUGGGGAUAGAUUGAAUAAAAAAAAUCUUCAUAAGUGUCGUAUACAUCCCAGUCAGUCGCAGCCCUGGCAGUGUCCUUUGUAUGAGUGAUGACUGAAAUUAGUAUCUAACUAAAUCUGCAAUAAGCUCCUGUAUUAAGAUAGAGCUCCCCCAGGACAAAUGAUGUGCCUGCAUUAAAUUAAGUGAGCCUUCUGAUGCCAUCAUAUCACCCAGAGCAUCUGUGUCUGUGUUUCCAUAAUUAUGCAUGUCCCACUAAGAGAGCUUUAAAAGCAAUCUAUGCCAAUGCUUAUUUAGUCUUCCUGCACAAAUAGUGUCAAUUAAGUGUGCCUCCCAACAGGCCACCUAGACUGUAAGUGGAUUGAUUAACUUGUACAUUUGAAUGCAUUUUUUGAUUGUUUGUCUGAUGUAGUGGAAAUGAAAUUAUAGGCUAAUUCAGUCCUCUGACAUUUCUGCUGGCAGAUGGAAGCUUUCUAGAGGUUGCUUGUUUUCUUCUUCAAUCCUGCCUUCUUUCAGUAUCACCUUGACAUUUGGAGUUGAUCAGAUAAGGCAUUUCUCCCUUUUUUUAAGCCAUAAAACCCCUUUAAAGUAUAUACUUCCAUCUAUGAUAUAUGCUAAUGCUUUUCAGCACUGGGCCUGUGGGCUCCCCAGCUUCUACAUUUUGAAGUCCAAGAUGAGUGAGGUAAAGUUGUGCUGAUUUGAAGGAAAGUAGGCAGUCUAGGAGAACUUAACCUUUCAACUAUCAUGAGAAGUGAAAAAUUAUGUUACUCCACUGAAAAUCCUUUACUCUCUAUAAAACAGCACCAUGUAGCUUGUCUUUGUUUCCUUUGUCAGAUAAUUUUGUUCAGAAAAAAACUCUGAAUUAACUCCAGACAAAGGCUGAAUUUACUCCUCUUGUUUGUCUGCGUUGCACAAUGGGAUAUAUUGCUAAGUUUUAGUGAUUAGAUUUUUCCUAUUUGGGUCUCUUAGCUCAGCAAAGGUUGCUGAGACUAUAGAUUGUCAUGUCCCCCACUAGCACCUAUUAAAGUACAAGAAACCUGUUGUCACUUUCUCUUCCCACAAUUUCUCUCUUGGUUUCUCCCUUCCUAUCUCUCCUAAUUUCUCUUCCCUCUAUGUCUUGGUCACACUCCACUGCACCACUCUCAAACAUUAGGAGCAAUCCAUUGUUAUGCAGGGUGAUUUGACACACGGCUGAUACAAGCUGAUACUUGCCCAACAGUAACUAAAUUGUGUAAGUCUCGAUGCUACCACUUUGAACUACCUAUGGCUUGUUCAAGCUUUUCAUAUGCGAUAGGAAACUUGACAAUGUUGUGAUGUAAACAUAGUGUCACAUAUUGUCAAGUAAUGUUGGUCCUGUAGGUAAAAGACUCUUUCAGUCAUUCAGAUUCAGAUUCUUCAACAGUAUUGACAAUCCAGUUGAUUUACAUGUUGAUUCCCAAAAACUAAAUUGCCUUUGUGAGAAUUGUUUCGUUUCGUUGUAUAAUUCACUUCAAGGUGUUAUAGGGUAUCCGUCUGAAAUCCAAUGAUUUGAAUGUAGGGCCUGAAAGGGAUAUUCCGGCGUGAAAUGAAGUCAGGGUCAAACACACUGUAACACUGAGUUAGACACCCCCUCUCGAGAGAUGAAUGUCGCUGACCGCUUGCUUCUCUAGUUAUACCAAUUUUAGUAAUGGCCGCAUGAUAGCAAUACACAGCGGUCUGAGGAGCCGUAAACAAACCUCAACCAAAACGCCACUCUAUAGCCACAAAUAAUGCUCAGAACAGCACCUUACUUCAUCAACAGUACAUUAAGGGUCCCAGCCAUAACACUAGCCACCAAACAUCUUAUUAACUUUGUCUCAUUUCUUCAGCAAAGAGACUAAACACAACUCACCUACUCUCUUCUAGCAGCCGCUUCUUUGUAGCGAGACCUCGGGCCAGUCCAUUAGGGGACUGCUGCGGGGUGACACAGCUCAAGGAAGAACAUUUAUGCUGAUUUCUUUAUCAUUUCCUUUAAGUAAUAAUCACCAUAUUAACCGUUUUGCACUGCAGACUCGGUAGUUCUUCUGCCUUGGCGUCUUGGUCUGAUUGCAUUUCUAUGCAUCUCUCGAGGGGGUGUCUAACUCAAUGUUACGGUGUGUUUGACCUUUAAUGAAUUUUACGACGAAAUAUCCCUUUAAAUGUCUAAAAUUCUCUUCAAAUCUCUUGAAAUGUCUUAUAUAUGAUUUUGAAAGGUUGCUUACAAAUAAAUAACAUGCCAUAGGAAUAAAGAUAUAAAGUAAUGUAAAAUAUUCCGAUUUUCCUUCAUGUCUUUUGUACUUUUUUGCCAGUAUGGAGGUUAAAUUGCUGCUGCAUUCAUUAUGGUCUAAAAAAACAGUCUUAAAUUUGACUUUGUGAAAACUGCAGAGACCCCGUGUUCAUUGCAUGUAAGGGUUAAGGUCACCUACAGUAGUACAGGAAAGGAAAAUUAGCCAAAAUUACAGGAAGAAUCCUUUAAUUUUAACUUCUCAUCUCCAAAAGUUCCUAAAACAAAAAACAUGCUCUUGAAACAUUAAUAUUAUUUUAACAGAGCUUACAAUAAGGGGAUAAAACUUUGUGACCACAUGGGAAAAACACUCAGUCUUACUUUUUUGGGCUCUGGGCCAUAAGGUCAAAGUUAUUGUUGAAUGCUCACAGGUGAUUUGAACCACCGCAUGUUGCUGCUUUCAGCUUGUUUAUCUCAGAAUGACUUGACAUUUCACAACUUUUACCAUUUUUCUUAUAAAAGUUUCAAGUGAAGGUGUCUGUUAUCCAAUUCCACAUUAUAAAUAAUUCAUCGCAGCGGUUUUCUGGGUAAUUUAUCCGUGAGUUCAGGGUGGCACUGCGCAGACAUUAAAAGGCAAGCAUCCAGCUAUAAUAAGUACAACUUCAUUGGAUUCUAAUUUGUCAUUCUUCCACCAAACGCGACCAUUAGAGCGAAUGGAUGGCUAUUUAAUUGUCUUGCUGUGGCUAUACUUCAGCGCUUUCAAUGACAGCGGUGUCUAAAGCCCCGCUGAGUAACCUCCUCUGCUUUAUUUUGAUGUGAGAUCCACAUUAAAUUUCUCACUUCUUUUUUUUUUCCGCCUCUGUCUUCCUUCUUUCUUGCUCUCUCAGGAUUAUACAAAGGUAUGAAUCGCAUGUAAGGAUUAAUCAUCUCCUUCAGGGACACUUCUCUUUGGCCGGCUCAAAGGAUUUCAGGUGCUGAGCAGUGCUUAUAUAGAGAAGAAGCUUUCUCUUAAGUGUGUUAUUGAUAGUCAGAAAGCUGUUGUUAAAGUGAAUAGAGAUGUGAAAAGCGCGGUAAUCUACAUAGUUUACAGCUGUUUCCAUUUGUGCCGAGUGAUCUUUCAACAUUCAGUUAUAUAUUUUAUAUUUAUUUAGUCAUACGGCUAAUGCGUCAUCUAAAUGCAAUAUCAUGUCUCCAUGGUGUCUGCAAGGAACAAUGGAUGCAAUCAUAAGCCAGCAUGAUAUUAAUUAUUAAAACUCCAUCUUCUGUAUUAGCCUAAUAGUUCUCGUUCAGACCCCGGCACUCUCGUACGCAUGAAGCCAAUGAACAGUUCAUCAAACUGACCGAUCCGGAAAAGGAAACGGCGUUUAGCAGCGUGAUUAAUGGGGUCAAUAUGCUGCUAACGGGGGACACUAAAACAUGUCAUUUUAAUCAUGGCAAUGCUUGUGGGGGAGAUGGGAGCAAAUUAUUUCAUUACCAUUUCCGAGCAUCUCGCCGCAGCCCUCCAUCCCUGCAGCUCUACUUACGCUUGUGUGCUCGGGACAAAGAGUGUCUGUCAUUUCACAUGGCUGUUCCCCCCAGUGAGUAGAGAGGCAUAAUGGCAGAGAGUGUGCGGUGUUUCACUCUGGAAACAGCACACCAUCAGUGUCAGAGCUUGUGAACUUAGCAUUUUUUUAUGUGCUGUCAUGUUUUGUCGAGGGGUUUAGGGACAUAGCUUUGGUUUUUCUGUCUUUUGUACGUGUUGACACAAGUUUCCUGCACAGGGCCCUGAUUAGUCAGGGAGUCCAUGCCUAAUAUAACCGCAUUGGAAAAAUGUUUUUCUUCACAGGCCGCCUGGCAGAAAUGGCAGCUCGUCCAGGCUCUGGUGUGUUUGUCACAAGUAAUUAAUUUUUCUCCUAUAAAAACGCCCACCGGGAUGAUGGAAAAGGUGGGUUCAUUAACCUUCCUCACCCGAGCUUCCUGUGGCACUUUACAAUGCGUUGGGUUGAUGGUUCUUCCAAUCGCCCGUGGCAGAAAAUGUGCAGGAAUGAAACACUUUUUUUACUCCAAGAUGGCUGUUUUUGCUGGGGGAAUAAAAAGGAUUUGCUUGGCAGCUCGGUCCAGAAAUUUUUAAACGCUUUCUACAACAUUUUAACACGUCUAGGUUUUACUUCCUUCCUUCCCAAGACACAUAAGACGACAUUUUGAAACCCCUCUCUCAGCACUCUUCCUCCUAUUCCCCCCUCCUUUCUUUUUCACUCACUGGCAUCAGUUUUUCUCCCCUCCCCAGUGCUUGGGUCGGAUUCUGAAUCGCUUUUUUCACAGUUUAUUUCAAAAUGACAUUUCAUGGAGUUUAAUCUCUAGGGGGGAACAAUGGGUACAUUCCAUCACACAGAGUGAUAUGAAAAGCCCCAGACCCUGUGAAUGGGAAGUGAGAGACAGAAUAAAAUAAAUAAAAGAGUAUCUCCGAGUGACCCAGAAUACUGAUGACAGGAACCACAGUGGCAGGCAACUUUAGCACUGUAGCUCCACACACACUCUCUUCUUUCUGCGACUCUCCAUCUCCUCUCUCACUUCCCCCCUCUUGAUUGUCAGUCAAAGCACUCGCAGCCUACACACUUGAAUGAGCUGAAAUAUUCACAGAUAUUAUCCACUAGACUGAAUUGAGCUUGUUAGGAGGGGAGGGAGAGGCAUCUGUGGGCCCUCCCAUAGUGCCGGCAUGUAUAGAUCAAUGCCGGCGGGGGAUCUUGACAGCUCAACUCGCUUUUAGGGGAAGGAAAUUGACUUGAUCUCGCCCUGGCAGCUAAUGCGGUGAUGAGUUGCAACAAGUGUGUCUUCAUGUAGACACCUGAUCUAUUAUACUCCUUUAUUUAUUCACAUUACAAACCAUUUCUAUGUGGCGUUUUCCUUGUGAUUGUUUGAAUUGCUCACAUUUAGGAGUUUAACACAACUGUUGGCUUAAGGCAGUAUAUUCCCACAAAUGUGAGCGCUAGAAUGAUAAUAGAUAUUCCGGUUAAUUUUUUUUUUUACCACAUCCAGGAGCUGGAUUCAAUAUAAUUAAGCCAGCAUGGGGUGUAGCUGUUAAAAUAGAUUGCUUGGCCACCUCUGAAGCUGCAGGUCUUGAGGUAAUAAAACUGAUGGCUUUAGAGCUUCAUGCUUAAUUUGCUCUUGAUUUGUUUCAUCUAUUGGAAUGACUGAGGAGCUCUGUAUGAACGCGUAAUUGUGAAUGAGGCAGCAUCACAUUUCUGGUGCGACAGUUAGCAGAUGACCUUAUUUGAAUACACUAUCUUCCUUUGUUUAAUUUGUAAGUUUAUGGCGUAGUGUUACAAGGGUGCAUCUUUUUAUAUAUUUGUCCUGUAUAAAUGCAAAUCUUUAUUUCUGCACGUCCUUCUGCAGAAACCUUCCUAACAAGGCUCCACCUGAUGGCACACUAACAGAAGCAGAAGGCUUGUUCUUGGCUCCCAGACUUAGAAAUGCGUAUUUGAAGGUGCUGUAUUAAGUCCCAGCAUCCUUCCUGCUGCUCCAGCUUGGCGCCACUUACAGUCAUUUAUCUUCACAGUCAUCACCUGCAUCAUUCACAGUCAUCCCACCGCCCCCAAUCCUCAAGGGUGUUGAGGGAGACUCGCAAAGAUAUUCCGGACGCACCAUGAGUGGCACCAUUAUCUCAGCCCAGUAAUGGAUUACCUCGAUGGUCAGCCUGUCAUGGUCAAUGUUUGCCCUGACAUUUCAUGUAAAGUUCCCUUCCCCCGAUGAAAUAUCAUAUUGUGGUGGCCAGGCGGUGGUUGUUCUGCCAAAUUGGUUGUCACAGUGCUGGCAGUGUGAUACCCUCUGUGUCCCUUUCUUACUCUUUUUGCCUGUUGGUCUUUUUUAUCUGGCUGGUUUGUACUCAGGAGCUACAUUUUUUUUUCUUUUUGCUCUUUUGAAGCUGAAAGGAUGAUAGUAUAGGAACCAGUGUAAGGAAAAAUGGAAGGUAUGUCUGACAAAAACACUUGAGGAGCAGAACCUGGCUCUUCACAUUGUGGUCUGAGGCUGGCACAAAAAAUCUCUAUAUAUUUUAUAUAUAUGUACUAUAUAUAUUUAACAGUUCAUAUAUUGUAAUUCUGUCUGGUUAGAAGGGAAGGGCAAUCAUGAUUAGUUUUGCCAUCCUGGCAAUAACAAUAAAAGUCCUGAUAAAAAAUAUUAUAAUUCCAAAUUAUAUUUUUGACUCGUUUUGUCUUGAGCGCACCAGUUGGAGUAGUCAAAUAAGAUACUU
rnacentral:lncRNA from 1 species